AGACCCGAAACCCGGUGAUCUAGCCAUGGGCAGGUUGAAGGUUGGGUAACACUAACUGGAGGACCGAACCGACUAAUGUUGAAAAAUUAGCGGAUGACUUGUGGCUGGGGGUGAAAGGCCAAUCAAACCGGGAGAUAGCUGGUUCUCCCCGAAAGCUAUUUAGGUAGCGCCUCGUGAAUUCAUCUCCGGGGGUAGAGCACUGUUUCGGCAAGGGGGUCAUCCCGACUUACCAACCCGAUGCAAACUGCGAAUACCGGAGAAUGUUAUCACGGGAGACACACGGCGGGUGCUAACGUCCGUCGUGAAGAGGGAAACAACCCAGACCGCCAGCUAAGGUCCCAAAGUCAUGGUUAAGUGGGAAACGAUGUGGGAAGGCCCAGACAGCCAGGAUGUUGGCUUAGAAGCAGCCAUCAUUUAAAGAAAGCGUAAUAGCUCACUGGUCGAGUCGGCCUGCGCGGAAGAUGUAACGGGGCUAAACCAUGCACCGAAGCUGCGGCAGCGACACUGUGUGUUGUUGGGUAGGGGAGCGUUCUGUAAGCCUGUGAAGGUGUGCUGUGAGGCAUGCUGGAGGUAUCAGAAGUGCGAAUGCUGACAUAAGUAACGAUAAAGCGGGUGAAAAGCCCGCUCGCCGGAAGACCAAGGGUUCCUGUCCAACGUUAAUCGGGGCAGGGUGAGUCGACCCCUAAGGCGAGGCCGAAAGGCGUAGUCGAUGGGAAACAGGUUAAUAUUCCUGUACUUGGUGUUACUGCGAAGGGGGGACGGAGAAGGCUAUGUUGGCCGGGCGACGGUUGUCCCGGUUUAAGCGUGUAGGCUGGUUUUCCAGGCAAAUCCGGAAAAUCAAGGCUGAGGCGUGAUGACGAGGCACUACGGUGCUGAAGCAACAAAUGCCCUGCUUCCAGGAAAAGCCUCUAAGCAUCAGGUAACAUCAAAUCGUACCCCAAACCGACACAGGUGGUCAGGUAGAGAAUACCAAGGCGCUUGAGAGAACUCGGGUGAAGGAACUAGGCAAAAUGGUGCCGUAACUUCGGGAGAAGGCACGCUGAUAUGUAGGUGAAGUCCCUCGCGGAUGGAGCUGAAAUCAGUCGAAGAUACCAGCUGGCUGCAACUGUUUAUUAAAAACACAGCACUGUGCAAACACGAAAGUGGACGUAUACGGUGUGACGCCUGCCCGGUGCCGGAAGGUUAAUUGAUGGGGUCAGCGCAAGCGAAGCUCUUGAUCGAAGCCCCGGUAAACGGCGGCCGUAACUAUAACGGUCCUAAGGUAGCGAAAUUCCUUGUCGGGUAAGUUCCGACCUGCACGAAUGGCGUAAUGAUGGCCAGGCUGUCUCCACCCGAGACUCAGUGAAAUUGAACUCGCUGUGAAGAUGCAGUGUACCCGCGGCAAGACGGAAAGACCCCGUGAACCUUUACUAUAGCUUGACACUGAACAUUGAGCCUUGAUGUGUAGGAUAGGUGGGAGGCUUUGAAGUGUGGACGCCAGUCUGCAUGGAGCCGACCUUGAAAUACCACCCUUUAAUGUUUGAUGUUCU
rnacentral:rRNA from 1 species